rnacentral:rRNA from 1 species
UACGUAGGGUGCAAGCGUUAAUCGGAAUUACUGGGCGUAAAGCGUGCGCAGGCGGUUUUGUAAGUCUGAUGUGAAAUCCCCGGGCUCAACCUGGGAAUUGCAUUGGAGACUGCAAGGCUAGAAUCUGGCAGAGGGGGGUAGAAUUCCACGUGUAGCAGUGAAAUGCGUAGAGAUGUGGAGGAACACCGAUGGCGAAGGCAGCCCCCUGGGUCAAGAUUGACGCUCAUGCACGAAAGCGUGGGGAGCAAACAGGAUUAGAAACCCCUGUAGUCC